rnacentral:rRNA from 1 species
UUCCCCUUAGUACGGCGAGUGAAGCGGGAAUAGCUCAAAUUUGAAAUCUCCCAGGGCAACCUUGGCGAAUUGUAGUUUAGAGAAGCGCUUUCUGUGGCAGAACGCCGUCCAAGUUCUUUGGAACAAGACAUCAGAGAGGGUGAGAAUCCCGUAUCUGACGGCGAGUUGUUCUGUUGCUAUACGGGGCGUUUUCCAAGAGUCGGGUUGUUUGGGAAUGCAGCCCAAAAUGGGUGGUAAAUUUCAUCUAAAGCUAAAUAUUGGCACGAGACCGAUAGCGAACAAGUACCGUGAGGGAAAGAUGAAAAGCACUUUGAAAAGAGAGUUAAAUAGCACGUGAAGCCGUUAAAAUGGAAACGAUUAAAGUCAGCAGUGCUUGUCUAGCAAUCAAUUUUGGCGAUUUUUGGUAUGGUGGUUUCUCUACAUGAGGGCUGUUAUACACAAGGGUUGUCAGAGUGCACUUGUUGGGCGUAGCAGGUCAACAUCGGUUUGUUGAAUGGGGUAAAGAUACGAGGAAGGUAGCUGGAGUGGGGCAACUUACUCCAGUGUUAAGCCUUGUAUCCGAGACAUUUGAUAGACCGAGGAUAUCAAAAGAGUGUGUGCCUCUGCGCUAGGGGGUUGUCAACGUGGUGUUCAUACAGGGCGUGAACAGUGUGUCAGAGCUGUGGUUGAGUGCUAGGGGUGCUAGAUUUGGAGACUCCCCAUAUAACACACGUGAGAUGUUGACAAAGUGGUUUUAACAGACGCGUCUUGACACACAGACCAGAGACUCUCACAUGCGCGCGUCUCUUAGUGUGACACUCUCGUGAGCGGAAUGUGAAUGUAAGUGUAUUUUAGUGAAAUCUACGUGGGCAUCAUCGACCGAUCUGGAUUUUCUUUUGAAAGAUUUGAGUAAGAGCGUAUCUGUUGGGACCCGAAAGAUGGUGAACUAUGCCUGAAUAGGGUGAAGCCAGAGGAAACUCUGGUGGAGGCUCGUAGCGGUUCUGACGUGCAAAUCGAUCGUCAAAUUUGGGUAUAGGGGCGAAAGACUAAUCGAACCNNNNNNNNNNNNNNNNNNNNNNNNNNNNNNNNNNNNNNNNNNNNNNNNNNNNNNNNNNNNNNNNNNNNCGGGUAAAGCGAUGAUUAGAGGAUUUAGGGUUGAAACAACCUUAACCUAUUCUCAAACUUUAAAUAGGUAAGAGGUCCGACUUGCUUAACCGAAGCCGGACUUUCUGAAUGUGGAGCUCCUAGUGGGCCAUUUUUGGUAAGCAGAACUGGCGAUGCGGGAUGAACCGAACGUAAAGUUAAGGUGCCAAAAUCAACGCUCAUCAGACCCCACAAAAGGUGUUGGUUGAUCUAGACAGCAGGACGGUGGCCAUGGAAGUCGGAAUCCGCUAAGGAGUGUGUAACAACUCACCUGCCGAAUCAACUAGCCCUGAAAAUGGAUGGCGCUUAAGCGUUGUACCUAUACUUUACCGCCGUACAGCAAAUGCGAGGCUGCGGCGAGUAGGUGGGCGCGGGGGUGGUGGAGAAGCCUAGAGCGUGAGCUUGGGUGGAACUGCCCUUGGUGCAGAUCUUGGUGGUAGUAGCAAAUAUUCAAAUGAGAACUUUGAAGACUGAAGUGGAGCAAGGUUCCAUGUGAACAGCAGUUGGACAUGGGUUAGUCGAUCCUAAGAGAUUGGGAAACUCUGUUUUAAAGUGUGUUGAGUGGUGUUGGGGGGGUAAUCCUUUCUUAUUGCGCAAACGCCGCCCACAUGGAAAGGGAAUCAGGUUAUUAUUCUUGAACCGGGAAACGGAUAUUUGUGUUCCAGGGUAAAACCUGUAGUCCAGCCGUUUUUUGGGGCAACUGGAGGGCUGGGAUAUGUGGUAACCCAACCAAAUUGGGAGACGCUGCCGGGACCCUUAGGAAGAUUUUUUUUUUUUUUUUAACGAGGUUUUUUGAGUACCCUGGAAUCAGAUUAUCUGGAGAUAGGGUACAAAACUCGGAAAAGCAUCACAGUUCUGGUGAUGUCUGGUGCGCUCUUGACAGCCCUUGAAAAUCCGAGGGAGAGAAUGAUUUUCGUUCCUGGUCGUACUGAUAACCGCAGCAGGUCUCCAAGGUGAACAGCCUCUAGUUGAUAGAACAAUGUAGGUAAGGGAAGUCGGCAAAAUAGAUCCGUAACUUCGGGAUAAGGAUUGGCUCUAUCGACCGAGCUUGGUGGGCCUUGUGUUUGAAGCUUUUGGACCUUUGGUUGGGUCUACCUGUGUGUCCUUUCGGGAUGUGUGGKUUGGACCUGGCUAGGACUGGGAGUGGAUAUGCAAGGCUAUGGGGGGCUGGGCAACCUGCUCUUUCUAUGCUCCUGUGGGCGAUUAACGGCCAACUUAGAAAUGGUGCGCACAAGGGGA